AUUGAACGCUGGCGGCAGGCCUAACACAUGCAAGUCGAGCGAGCGGCGGACGGGUGAGUAAUGUCUGGGAAACUGCCUGAUGGAGGGGGAUAACUACUGGAAACGGUAGCUAAUACCGCAUACCAUCAGAUGUGCCAAGAUGGGAUUAGCUAGUAGGUGGGGUAACGGCCCAACAAGGCGACGAUCCCUAGCUGGGCUGAGAGGAUGACCAGCCACACUGGAACUGAGACACGGCCCAGACUCCGACGGGAGGCAGCAGUGGGGAAUAUUGCACAAGGGGCGCAAGCCUGAUGCAGCCAUGCCGCGGGUGGGAAGAGGGCCUUCGGGUUGUAAAGCACUUUAAGCGGGGAGGCGUUACCCGCAGAAGAAGCACCGGCUAACUCCGUGCCAGCAGCCGCGGUAAUUC
rnacentral:rRNA from 1 species